rnacentral:rRNA from 1 species
GACGGAGGGUGCAAGCGUUGUUCGGAAUUACUGGGCGUAAAGCGUAUGUAGGCGGUUAGUUAAGUCGAAUGUAAAAGCCUGAGGCUCAACCUCAGAACUGCAUUCGAUACUGGCUGACUAGAGGAUGAUAGAGGAGAGCGGAAUUCCCAGUGUAGCGGUGAAAUGCGUAGAUAUUGGGAGGAACAUCGGUGGCGAAAGCGGCUCUCUGGGUCAUUCCUGACGCUGAGGUACGAAAGCGUGGGGAGCAAACGGG